GAAAUGCGAUAAGUAAUGUGAAUUGCAGAAUUCAGUGAAUCAUCGAAUCUUUGAACGCACCUUGCGCUCCUUGGUAUUCCUUGGAGCAUGCCUGUUUGAGUAUCAUGAAAUCUUCAAAGUAAAUCUUUUGUUAACUCAAUUGGUUUCUACUUUGGUAUUGGAGGUCUUUGCAGCUUCACACCUGCUCCUCUUUGUUCAUUAGCUGGAUCUUAGUGUUAUGCUUGGUUCCACUCGGCGUGAUAAGUUAUCUAUCGCUGAGGACACUGUAAAAGGUGGCCAAGGUAAAUGCAGAUGAACCGCUUCUAAUAGUCCAUUGACUUGGACAAUACUUUUAUGAUCUGAUCUCAAAUCAGGUAGGACUACCCGCUGAACUUAAGC
rnacentral:misc_RNA from 1 species